CGUUCACCUACUUUGCUUCUAAAAGCAAAAUAUAACCAGUCAUAAAGCUUCUUAAACACAGCAAGCAAUUUUUCUGCUUUAUGUUGGCUUAUAUAUAUUUCAGCCGGUGUGACCAUUGACAGGCCUUUCAGGGGGUUAGACAACAAACAAUACUGUGGUCUGCCCAAUUUCACAGCCAUGGGAACUUUUCACAGUAGUUAGUUAUCAUUCGUUUCAAGCGAACUCAAGCUUGCAUAGAGCUCGCCGCUCACAUUGAAGGAAAGUCGUACAACCCUGCUCAAAUGCCCGUAUUUAUUGACGUAUUAGGCUCCACGCACAUAAAGACAGAUAGAAUGAAACGAAGGGUCUGAGCUGCCAACUGGGAGCGUCAACAUAAAUCCAAUAACGCUGCUUCUCCCUCUGCGCCGCCUCCUCUCCGGCCCCUGUUCGUUUUCCUUUAUGUUUUCACUUGAUAUUGUACGCGAGAACAUGGACAGCUAUUGAGCGUGGCAUUUCGUUCUCUGUCCGAAAAGGGGAAAAUAUGAGCGGAGGUACCAUGAGUGUAAUUACAUCUCGUCAAGCGCCUAAUGUGAAUGCAUGCGUUGGGCCGGAAAAAUUCCCGCUGGUUCACAGAGCGCAGUGAGGGUUUUUUGCCAGAAGAAAUUCACCUCGCGGGGCUUCUUCCAAUAGCUAUCAUCUGCGUCACGAUAAAAGGACAGCGGUACGCGUAAUGAUGCUCAAUACAAAGCCGUAAGAUAAGGCUGGAACUGCAAACACAAGGAGCAAAAAUUGAGGAGUAGAACGAAGCAAAAUUUGUCUAAAACUGUUCAAAUUACAAUUAAGCGAAAGUACUUGCUUUAACGACUUAAAGGACAAGGGGGCUGGAACUGGCUGAAGUUUUCUUUUAGAAACACUCCUAGCGUAAGAUAAUUUUGGGAAUACGGGCCCAGGUUCUUGCAAAUAUGUGAACAUGCGGCUUUUUCAUAGGAGCAAGUUGGAAUUCUCGCUACCCCGGAACAUGCACUGUACAAAUACUCCUGGAUGUUUUUUCUCUUUUUGCUCUUCACUUGAUCUCGAUUUUUAUGACAAGCCCAUGAAAGUGGGUUGUUCGUUGACUGCUUCCUACUUAUCACUCCGUGAUUGCUCUUGACACGUUCUUAUUGGGGCUCGCACAUCUGUGUUAACAAUGCUCGUACUAAAAGACAGCCAAACGGGCAAGAACAAGUGAAUCUGUUCAGUGGUGCGUCCAGGCGUAUAAUAGACAAAGGACAGAAAACUCUUAUUACUUCAGGUACUGUUAGAAACUAACUGAAAAACAACAACAAUCGGAUUGGUAAAUUCCCAAUAUAUUAUAUGUUUGGUGAGACCAAAUAUUUAUACCAUGGUGUCACGUGCAAUGGAGCUGAAAGAGCCAAUUAAAUAAAUAACGAACAAACGAAAACACAACGCAACCUCAAGAAAGCUUUCAUUAGAUGUGGGCAAGGGCAUUCAUGUACUUAGAUCUCGAACAAUGAGCGCGAGCCAUAGGAAAGGGCGCUGACUUUUCUCAGCUUGGGCACAUGGGCGUUGUCUUCUUUUGCCGUACUUCUGUGCUAAAAAAAAAGGGGGGGGGCUUUCAAAAACUCAAUUGUUAUGGAACUCAAGAUACUUUCGAAAGGUGGGCUGCCCAAAAAUAAAUCUUGUUUCCUGUGAUUUGUAACAGGUCUAAAGUUUUAACUGGCAUUUCACAAGUAAUUUGAGAACUUGAGAUUUGUAUUCCCACGAAAUAGAAGUCAUCCGUUAAUAACCUGAAUGUAUUUAACGAAUAUUCAGCAGUGGAGUUGUAGAAAAGUGCUAUUUCACAUUUAGAAACCCUUCUUGCGUAGCGCACAAGCUUCUUCGCUGGCGUCCUCCAGGAGAAUUCCACGCCAAUCACAACACUGAAAAGCGAAGAGAUUUUUCAACUCCAAAUUUAUGCAGGAAGCUUGGGAUGUCUUAACUGCGACUCACAAGUUGGCGCCUCAACACCCCAUUCAUCAGUCAUUCACCGGAAAAUUAAGCAAUGGCUUCAAAAAAAAAAAAAAAAAAACUUUCACUGACGAUUGCGACACUCCCAAAUCCGAAUUUCGGGCGCAGCUGUCUAGGUGUUUGGAAUUCGCAAUAUAUUAUGUCAAAGAAUUUGAUUCUGAAGGACAACGUGCUCUCGGCGGCAGCGCUGAGCCUUUGCUCGGGCAGCUCGUUUAGGAGCAACGGCAGACGAAGCAUUUCCAUCGGUUGCGUCGAUCACUGUGUAGAAAGAAAGCGUAAACACGGGAACACGUGGCUUGCGCAGAGCGCAUUCUCAAGUGGCGGUGGCGGCGCCAUAGAGUAACAUAGUAAACGACAAGAGUGGACACUCGAGCCGUUUCGCGGCCGAGCUACGGAGAUUCGCCGGUUCCGCUAGGUGGCAGAGCACACCAAGAAAAAUAUAGCUGCGGCCGUGGCUAGCAGCUUCACAGGCGGCACGACGCCACACGUGCGAAGCGCAGUCAGGCCCCAUCGCCCGGCUCGUGGCGUCGUUAUAAUCUUGCGUAAGAUGAGCCCGAGGAUCAUUGUUGGGUUCUUCUGCCAGUGUCUGACACUACUGCUUCGUCGCCGUUUCAUGGUAAGGCCGCAGGAAGUUCUUUUGCACGUUGCUAAAAGUCUUAUUCUUUUCGUAUUUCGUUAUGUCACUGGUAGCCGCAUGAACGAGUGACGGAGGCGGGCAUGGUGGCUUUGAAGCCAUAAACAGCUGCUUCCUAUCUGCAACGUUGAAUUUCAUUUUGCAUUCUUCUUUUAAUCAUGCGCAGCAAUGAGUGGCGAUGCCAGCGAUGACAGCGACAUGACAGCGUCCGAGCUGCGAGACACGUUCGGUACAAUGACGAAGAAACUUCACCAUUCCUUCCUCAAUAUACACUCUACAGUCAAAGGACAUCAUGGAUAUUCAUGGGAAAAUUUCCAAGUAUCAGAAGAUGAUUGCAAGGCUUCGAAGACAGCAGGUGAACACCCCCAAUACCGUCGAAGUUGACUGAGAUGACCAUAUCUUGCAGCUGUUUAAUGAGGACUCACUGGAUGUUGGUGCGUGCCCAAUGAUUUUUCUAGAUAUUUUAUUUUGACGCGCAACUAUUCACAUAACUUUGCUGCCUUAAUUCAUCCUCAUUCGUAGAAGUACAAGAAAAAGCGUCAUCUUUAUUCCUUCUAAAACAAUCAAAUUUUGAGUAAAUUAAUUGCUGGCUUGUCUGUGUACCAUUUUUUUUUCAUGCUUUGGAUAACUGCAACGCGUCUUGUAUGUGUCGUUAGGCUUGUGUAAAGGUUAUUGACAUCACGCCAUUAAUUUCCGAGUAUUCUACAUUACUUCCAUUUCGCAGAUACUUCUCGUUUUCAUGUGUCUGCCACUUUUCUCACAAUCUUGCUGCAAUAAAUUGGUGUCUGCUGUUUUCGUGUU